GCUUACCAUGCAGUCGAGCGGUAGGUCCCUUCGGGGGAACACGAGCGGCGAACGUCUGAGUAACACGUGAGCAAUCUGCCCUUCACAUCGGGAUAACCUCCGGAAACGGAAGCUAAUACCGGAUACGACCAUUACAGACAUCUGUUGAUGGUGGAAAGUUCAGGCGGUGAAGGAUGAGCUCGCGGCCUAUCAGCUAGUUGGUGAGGUAACGGCCCACCAAGGCGACGACGGGUAGCCGGCCUGAGAGGGUGACCGGCCACACUGGGACUGAGACACGGCCCAGACUCCUACGGGAGGCAGCAGUGGG
rnacentral:rRNA from 1 species